CCUACGGGAGGCAGCAGUGAGGAAUAUUGGGCAAUGGACGAGAGUCUGAACCAGCCAAGUAGCGUGAAGGAUGACUGCCCUAUGGGUUGUAAACUUCUUUUAUAAAGGAAUAAAACGAGGCACGUGUGCCUUUUUGCAUGUACUUUAUGAAUAAGGAUCGGCUAACUCCGUGCCAGCAGCCGCGGUAAUACGGAGGAUCCGAGCGUUAUCCGGAUUUAUUGGGUUGAAAGGGAGCGUAGAUGGGUUGUUAAGUCAGUUGUGAAAGUUUGCGGCUCAACCGUAAAAUUGCAAUUGAUACUGGGAGUCUUGAGUACAGUUGAGGUAGGCGGAAUGCGUGGUGUAGCGGUGAAAUGCUUAGAUAUCACGAAGAACCCCGAUUGCGAAGGCAGCUUACUAAACUGUGACUGACAUUGAUGCUCGAAAGUGUGGGUAUCAAACAGGAUUAGAUACCCCAGUAGUC
rnacentral:rRNA from 1 species